rnacentral:tRNA from 1 species
GGAAGGGUGGCCCAGUGGUUAGGCUGCUUGCCUGGGAUGCAAGAGACCUAGAUUCAAUUCUCUGCUCAGCCA